rnacentral:rRNA from 1 species
GCUCAGUAACACGUGGACAACCUACCCUUAGGUCGGGGAUAAACCCGGGAAACUGGGUAUAGUACCCGAUAGAUCUCGACUGCUGGAAUGCAUCGAGAUCCAAAGCUCCGGCGCCUAAGGAUGGGUCUGCGGCCUAUCAGGUAGUAGUGGGUGUAGCGUACCUACUAGCCUACGACGGGUGCGGGUUGUGAGAGCAAGAGCCCGGAGAUGGAUUCUGAGACACGAAUCCAGGCCCUACGGGGUGCAGCAGGCGCGAAAACUUUACAAUGCUGGAAACAGCGAUAAGGGGACCUCGAGUGCCAGGUUACAAAUCUGGCUGUCGUGAUGCCUAAAAAGCAUUGCAUAGCAAGGGCCGGGCAAGACCGGUGCCAGCCGCCGCGGUAACACCGGCGGCUCGAGUGGUAACCGUUAUUAUUGGGUCUAAAGGGUCUGUAGCCGGCCGGAUAAGUCUCUUGGGAAAUCCAGCAGCUCAACUGUUGGGCUUUCAGGAGAUACUGUCUGGCUCGAGGCCGGGAGAGGUGAGAGGUACUUCAGGGGUAGGGGUGAAAUCUUGUAAUCCUUGAAGGACCACCAGUGGCGAAGGCGUCUCACCAGAACGGACCUGACGGCAAGGGACGAAAGCUAGGGGCACGAACCGGA